rnacentral:misc_RNA from 1 species
GUUAAAAGGACCUGCUAUGCGCAAUCCAGUCAGAUUAGACAGAUCCGUCGUAAGAUGAGGGAGAUCAUGGUCAACCAAGCAACAUCAUGUGAUCUGAAAGAGUUGGUCCGUAAGUUCAUUCCUGAAUCAAUUGGAAAGGAAAUUGAGAAGGCUACAUCUAGCAUAUACCCUCUACAGAAUGUUUUCAUCCGAAAGGUCAAGAUCUUGAAAGCUCCCAAGUUUGAUCUUGGAAAGUUAAUGGAGGUGCAUGGUGAUUAUUCGGAAGAUGUUGGUGUGAAGGUAGAUAGGCCUGCCGAAGAAGCUGUGGAGGGGGCUACCGAAGUUGUUGGCGCUUGAAAAAUGGAAUCUUGAAUCCACUUUUCUUAUAUUUACGAAUGAACUGUCUUUUAUUUUUAUUUUUUAGUUUUCCUUUUAGUUAUAGUCUUGUGUUUCUGCCAAGUUGAGAAAUCAGAGAUUAUCAGCGAUUUUGACUAUGAAAAGUACUUGCUGCCUUCAAAUUAAGCAUUAUUCCUU